GCCUCGGUAGCUUAGUGGUAGAGCUGGCAAGUCGGGAAGUGACGAGCCUGGAAAACGCUGGUUCGAUCCCCCCACGGGGCG